GGUCAGCGCCUUGCGCUUUCCGCAUGCGCGGCGGUCUUGAGAACCGUCGUGGCAGCGAUGUCACCGUGGGUUCAAAUCCCACACCCACCG
rnacentral:tRNA from 1 species